AUCCCUCCCCGAGAUCCGGAAUGUGGAGCUGUGUUGGGGCCUGGGUGUGAUGUGAGCCAAGGGACUCACUGAGCCCCGAGCGCGCACCUGUCUAGGCGCGAAGAGGCCGGGCGUGGAGACCCCAUGCUUUUCAGCCCCAGGGCCUGCGGCGUGCCGGGGCCUCGCGAGUCCGGACUGAGAGAGUUGGAGGAUUGAGCAUUGAAAAGGAACAUAGCUGGAGGAAGAAUCUUCAUCCAAGACCAGAGAGAUGAAAAUGAUCACAGGAAGUGAUGGAAGGCAUCAAGGAAGGUCAACAUAUAGAUAGGAAAACUAGGGGAAAAAAAGAUAAGAUCAAAAGCCAAGAAUAGCUGAAUCUUCCAGGGAACUUGGAGUUAAGAAUGUAAGAUUGGCAUUUCCCAGAUGAUCUCGCCAGUAGAAUGUACAAGAUACAGAUGGAGAGAAAGUUCGGAGGAGAAAAGGGACCUGAUUCUGGGGGAGCUGCAGAGGAUCACAGGCUGCCCUGGAAUGUAGCCCUCAGUUGGACUCUGGUUUCUCUACACAAAGGGUUUCAAUAAAGAGCAAGUGAUGGACAUGAUCCAGAGUGUGUUUCCAAAAGGAAUGCAGAGCUGUGUCCUCAACUUCCUAAUUGGAUCAGUCAGGCUGCUGUGAUGACUCCUUCCCCCGGUGCCACCGUGAGAGACAGGCAGGACCCAGGCACUGCUACUCUGGCUGAGAUAAGACCCAACAUCAUGGCAGAGUGUACAAUGAAGCAAAACUUCUCACUUCAUGACAGCCAGAAGAGAGGAGAAGAGGGAAGAAGGGAGACAGAGUGGGAAGAAAGAAAGAAAAAAGAGACAUUUGCUGCCACCAUGAAUUGCGCCUCUGCCAUCAUGCCACCCUACUUUGGAGCCAACUGAGUAUGGACUGAAACCUCCAAAAACUUGGUUACUCGUAAACACCACAGAAGAAGGCCCAAGAGCACUACUUUGAGACAGAUUUGUUUGAAUGAGCCUACACACUGGAUCUUUUUUCCCUUUUAUACAACUGAUCUCCACCUGAAGCACCUGUCACAUAGUAGGCAGGUAAACAAACAGCUUCAACAAAUGGAUGUGAAUCUUUUUGAUAUUGUUUCUUUCUAACUCUACAAUAUCUAAACUUUCUUAUAUUAAGUAUUUAUUAGAUGGUCAACUAUCUUUUACAUCCCAUGCCCAACCUUCUGUAAAUUAGUAUCUACCAGAAACUUCAAGGUGAGGCCAUGAUGGUGAAGAAACUGAAAAACCGGCUGGCUAAAUUUAAAAGGUCAGUCAAUGCUGUUUCUCUAGUCACAAUCUUUCACUCACCCCAAUCUUUUGCACAGAUUUCAUAGGUUCUUUCUUCACCAACUUGAUAUAGAAAGCAGAGGGAAGAAUAAAAAUCAACAUAGCAGCCGCAGAUGCACCUGUAAGAAAACAUUUCAAUUAAUCCUUUUAACUUUUUAAGCCUUAACUUGCCCUGUAUUUGAGUCAACCUUCAUACUUGGAAAAACUCACCAAUGAAACCAAAGAUAUCCCUGAUAGUUGGGACAAAGAUGACCAGCAAAUUGGUAAAUACCAAGAUACACACAGUAAUGAGACUGUGACGCCACCAACUGAAAUCUUUUGUUGCACAUAAUAGGUGAGUCACGGAACUCCGGAUCUGAAAAAAACAAAACACCAAACAGCUUCAGCUAAUGCAAAGAAUUCCCAAGUAUUAGGGACUGCAUGUAAAACAGCAAUGAUUUGUAAAGCAGAACUAAGCUUUCUCCUCUGCUGCUGUUUUGUAAAUAGCUAAGCACUGGAUUAUCUUCUAUCUUGAAUUAUGGGUGAAAUGUUCCAAAAUGUUUUGAAAAUCUACAUCGUAUUAAAGAAAGCCCCUUAGAAACCCUCACCAACUCAGUACUGCUCUACUGUGUCCCUUCUCCCAGAAAAGAAAAAUACCACAAAUUUUCACAUGUUUAAAAACUCAUCCUUACUGAAAAGAGGCAGGUGAUUCACUACUUACCGGGAAAAUAACUACUGGUACUGUUAGGGUGACAGCCACUAACACAGCCAAACGGACAAUUAGAAGAAUGAUAUCAGUUCCCACGACAGAAGAAUAGGUAUGAAGCAAUUCCGACUCGACACGAUC